AUGAAGACCUUUCUCAUCCUUGCCCUCCUUGCUAUUGUAGCAACCACCGCCACAAUUGCAGUUAGAGUUCCAGUGCCACAAUUGCAGCCACAAAAUCCAUCUCAGCAACAACCACAAGAGCAAGUUCCAUUGGUACAACAACAGCAAUUUCCAGGGCAGCAACAACCAUUUCCACCACAACAACCAUAUCCGCAGCCGCAACCAUUUCCAUCACAACAACCAUAUCUGCAGCUGCAACCAUUUCCACAGCCGCAACUACCAUAUCCGCAGCCGCAACUACCAUAUCCGCAGCCGCAACCAUUUCGACCACAACAACCAUAUCCACAACCGCAACCACAGUAUUCGCAACCACAACAACCAAUUUCGCAGCAGCAACAACAACAACAACAACAAAUCCUUCAACAAAUUUUGCAACAACAACUGAUUCCAUGCAGGGAUGUUGUAUUGCAACAACACAACAUAGCGCAUGGAAGGUCACAAGUUUUGCAACAAAGUACUUACCAGCUGGUGCAACAAUUGUGUUGUCAGCAGCUGUGGCAGAUCCCCGAGCAGUCGCGGUGCCAAGCCAUCCACAAUGUUGUUCAUGCUAUUAUUCUGCAUCAUCAUCAACAACAACAACAACAACAACAACCGUUGACCCAGGUCUCCUUCCAACAGCCUCAACAACAAUAUCCAUCAGGCCAGGGCUCCUUCCAGCCAUCUCAGCAAAACCCACAGGCCCAGGGCUCUGUCCAGCCUCAACAACUGCCCCAGUUUGAGGAAAUAAGGAACCUAGCGCUAGAGACGCUACCUGCAAUGUGCAAUGUCUAUAUCCCUCCAUAUUGCACCAUUGCUCAAGUUGGCAUCUUCGGUACUAACUGA
rnacentral:rRNA from 1 species